rnacentral:rRNA from 1 species
UACGGGGGAGCAAGCGUUGUUCGGAAUCACUGGGCGUAAAGGGAGUCUAGGCGGUUUGGUAAGUGGAUGUGAAAUCCCCGGGCUCACCCCGGGACCUGCAUCCCAAACUGCUGAGCUUGAGUACAGGAGAGGGUGGGGGAAUUCCAGGUGUAGCGGUGAAAUGCGUAGAUAUCUGGAGGAACACCGGUGGCGAAGGCGCCCACCUGGCCUGCUACUGACGCUGAGGAGCG